GAUUGCUCACCCUCAAUUGUUCAUCGGCAUAUAUCGAGCAACAAUAUUCUGCUCGAUUCUCAAUACGAGCCUCAUAUUUCUAACUCGGCACUGCCAAGCUUCUAAAGCUAGACUCAUCAAAUCAGAGCACACUUGCAGGCACAUUCGGAUACGUUGCACCAGAACAUGCUUAUACAAUGAAGGUGACGGAAAAGACUGAUGUCUAUAGCUUUGGAGUGAUUAGCACUGGAAGUUAUCAAAGGAAGACAUCCUGGAGAUCAGAUCUUGUCUCUAUCAGUUUCCCCACCUCUCACAACCCAGGAUGAAGGGGAAGUGAUAUCUAUUAUAAAACCCGGAACUGCAUGCUUAAAUGCCAACCCACGAUCCAGGCCAACCAUGCAGAUUAUUUCUCAGAUGUGAUCACAGAGAAUCUAUCAUGCUAAGAAAUAAUUUGCAUAGAACUCUACUUAGUCCACCAAUAAUGCAUUAUUUCGAACCUCCUACAUCUUCAGCACAGUGUAAUUUCUUUUGAGUUUCUUCAGUCUUUCUUUCUACAUCAAGUUCCUAGUGUGAUUUGUACUCAUGGAAAUCGUGGCUUUGUGCCCAAAGAAAUCAAGUGGGGUUUUGUGUGAA